rnacentral:rRNA from 1 species
CUCGUAGGCGGCCAACUAAGUCAGACGUGAAAUCCCUCAGCUUAACUGGGGAACUGCGUCUGAUACUGGAUGGCUUGGAUUCGGGAGAGGAAUGCGGAAUUCCAGGUGUAGCGGUGAAAUGCGUAGAUAUCUGGAGGAACACCGGUGGCGAAGGCGGCAUUCUGGACCGAUAUUGACGCUGAGGAGAAGACCACGGGAGGCAAACGGGA